UCCGUAGGGUGCGAUCGUUGUCCGGAAUUACUGGGCGUAAAGAGCUCGUAGGUGGUUUGUCGCGUUGUUCGUGAAAUCUCACGGCUUAACUGUGAGCGUGCGGGCGAUACGGGCAGACUAGAGUACUGCAGGGGAGACUGGAAUUCCUGGUGUAGCGGUGGAAUGCGCAGAUAUCAGGAGGAACACCGGUGGCGAAGGCGGGUCUCUGGGCAGUAACUGACGCUGAGGAGCGAAAGCGUGGGGAGAGAACAGG
rnacentral:rRNA from 1 species